rnacentral:rRNA from 1 species
UUGUGGGGUACUCGAGUGGCGAACGGGUGAGUAACACGUGAGUAACCUACCCUUGACUUUGGGAUAACUUCAGGAAACUGGGGCUAAUACCGGAUAGGAGCUCCUGCUGCAUGGUGGGGGUUGGAAAGUUUCGGCGGUUGGGGAUGGACUCGCGGCUUAUCAGCUUGUUGGUGGGGUAGUGGCUCACCAAGGCUUUGACGGGUAGCCGGCCUGAGAGGGUGACCGGCCACAUUGGGACUGAGAUACGGCCCAG